GGUGACGAAGCUUAUGGAAAAAAAGACCAAAGGCCUCGAGGGAUGUUCUUCUUGACCCCCCGGGGCAAACGGAGGUGUUCCCCUGGUCAGCGUCAGGAGCCAUCCUAACUGAGGCCUCGGCUCCCUCUUUUCCUUCGGUC